GGCGGCGUAGCUCAGCGGUUAGAGCAGCGGCUUCAUAAGCCGCGUGUCACUGGUUCGAUCCCAGUCGCCGCUA
rnacentral:tRNA from 1 species